ensembl:lincRNA
GGGGGUUUCGUCCAGGCCCGGCAGGCUUGGGCCGGGAGACCCGACGGCCGGCAGGGUCCGGACUGGGAGAGGCCGCCGCCGCCAUCAGUCACCGAGUUCUGAGAAUGCAUUAGCUGCAAGAACUAGAACUUCUAGCAGUUCAGUUAACAAGAUAUUCCAGUCACCAGGAGUCAACAAGGCUCAACAGACAGUGUUAACAAAACAUGGUUACUGAGCAAGAGACACCAUCUGAGAAACAAGGUAUGAGUAAACAAUCAGAGGAAAAUUGGAAACUGACUACUUAAGAGAAAGGAACAGGGAGAUGAAAGCAAGGACAAAGCUGUGGCUAGAAAUGAAGAUAAUUUUAAUUCCUCUCUACCCCUACGAGACAAAAUUUCCAUGCCACGUACACUUGAUAUUUCAUCAUAGUGAAUGAGAUUAUUGUGCUAUUGUCUUUCUUCCACUUACGUACUCUAAAAUACUUCUUUAUAUCUAAGUAAAUGAGACUUCUUGAAUGUGCCGGCAUAUAUUUAAUAAAAAAUGCAAAAAUGAAUUAUGAAUCCUAACUUGUUCUUUGCAUUCUCAGUAUAUGACAAAAUCCUCUUUGAAAAAUUAUUAUGAGCAGAC